CGCAUACAGCGCCACCUAGCGGCAAAAUUCGAAAACUUAAAAUUUCUGCAUACAUUUGGCCAAGUUUUCCCAUACAAACUUCAAGCGCUUUGAGCGCCUCCUUAAGCUUAAUUGAUCUUGCUCAAAUUUUGAAUGUAGCUUCUGGGAGUCCAAAACAAGUGAUUUAGGAGGUAAGACUUGGCAUUUUUCGAAAUUUUUGUUUUUCAUAUAAGUGUGGGCCACCUUAAUGUAUACUUAACUGCACGGAGAAAAAACGGUACAGAUUGAAAUAACAAAAAAUUUGGUUGUUUUUCAACCUAAGGAAAUUGUUAUUUUUAAUUUGAAAAUAGUUCUUUCAAUUUAAUAAGGUUAGUCUGACACAAGCUUGUAAAUUGGUUGUUUCUACCAACAAUAUUGACAUCUGGACAGCUUUGAUUUUGGUAGUUUCAUACUAAGGUUCUUAUCUAUUUCGAUAAAAAUAUAAUUUUAAUUUACCAAAUUUUGGGUUGCCGUCAUUGUCAACAAACCAAAACAACAAACUAAGCAAUUAGUUCAAAUAAUACAGAAUAAUGCCUCGAUUCAAACUAAUAUUUUGUUUGUAGGAAAAAUGACCCAAAUUUUAGCUCGGAACAAACUAAUUUUCAAAGUUGUUUAGUGUACCCCAACCUGCCGCUCUACUAGCAAGCAGCAGAAGUAGCCAUCUUAUUUGUUGUUUAUUGAAAGAUCUUGCAGAAUCGGAUAUUGGCCAUAAGGAAAUUGCAAUAUUUGCUGAUUUAUUUCGAUGCCAUCUAUGGAAAACAUUCCCUGGGGAAACUUGAGCCACCUCGGCGCAACCACCAACUUCGGCAAAAAGUGGCACACAGGUUAAUCUUAUAAUUGACAUCCACUAGGGCCUGCGUCAUCGAACAGAAUCAGGCUUUUUAUACGGUUUUCAUUAGCCACACAAAAAUCGAAAUUGUUGCCGUCUGAAAUCUGAUUGCGCUAGUCCGGAUUAAUUGCAUGUUCCAGAGAGCCAAUCGGGCUUUGGAAUCAACAGGAUUCACCCGAACCAGCGAUCCAGUGUUCGAAUCGGAGCAGAACCAUUGCCUUUGCUUGGAAUUCCCCAGAAUGUGUGGAUUGUUCAUAGAGGCUGGGAUUGAAUUAGAAAUGUUCUAUCCAAAAACAGCAGAAAUAAGGUUUUUUUUUUGUUGACAAAAAUGGGAAAUUCGCAUCAGAAUUGUAAAUGUGAUUUAUUACAUUAAUAAAUAAAAUGGUGAAACUUUA